GACGAACGCUGGCGGCGUGCUUAACACAUGCAAGUCGAGCGGAUCGGCGAACGGGUGAGUAACGCGUGAGUAACUGCCCCCCUCUCUGGGUUCACAGUUGGAAACGGUUGCUCUUACCGGCAAGUGGGUGAUGACUCGAGUCCUAUCAGCGUGUGGGUGGGGUAGUGGCCUACCAAGGCGACGACGUGUCGCCGGCCUGAGAAGUGGACCGGCCCCAUUGGGCUGCGAUACGGCCCAAACUCCUACGUGAGGCAGCGGUGGCGAAUAUUACCCAAUGAGGGAAACACUGAUGCAGCAACGCCUCGUGCGGAAUGAUGGCCUUCGGGUUGUAAACAGCUUUCAGCCAUGACGCGGUAUUGGCCCAAGAAGCAACGGCUAACUACGUGCCAGCCGCCGCGGUAAUAC
rnacentral:rRNA from 1 species